CUACGGGGGGCUCCAGUGAGGAAUAUUGCACAAUGGGGGGAACCCUGAUGCAGCAACGCCGCGUGGAGGAUGACGCAUUUCGGUGUGUAAACUCCUUUUAUGAGUCAAGAAAAUGACGGUAGCUCAUGAAUAAGCACCGUCUAACUCCGUGCCAGCAGCCGCGGUAAUACGGAGGGUGCAAGCGUUACUCGGAAUCACUGGGCGUAAAGGACGCGUAGGCGGGAUAUCAAGUCAGGUGUGAAAUCCUACAGCUUAACUGUAGAACUGCACUUGAAACUGGCAACCUAGAGUAUGGGAGGGGGAGAUGGAAUUAGUGGUGUAGGGGUAAAAUCCGUAGAUAUCACUAGGAAUACCUAAAGCGAAGGCGAUCUCCUGGAACAUAACUGACGCUAAGGCGUGAAAGCGUGGGGAGCAAACAGGAUUAGAUACCCCCGUAGUC
rnacentral:rRNA from 1 species